UUCCGGUUGAUCCUGCCGAAGGCUACUGCUAUUGGAGUUCGAUUAAGCCAUGCGAGUCUAAGGGAUCUUCGGAUCCCUGGCGUAAUGCUCAGUAACACGUGGAUAAUCUACCCUCAGGUGGGGCAUAAACCCGGGAAACUGGGGCCAAUUCCCCAUAGAUACAGAUGGCUGGAAUGCUUCUGUAUUCAAAGCUCCGGCGCCUGAGGAUGGGUCUGCGGCCUAUCAGGUUGUAGUCAGGGUCAAGACCUGACUAGCCAGCGACGGGUAUGGGGUGUGAGAGCACUUGCCCAGAGAUGGUUUCUGAGACACGAAACCAGGCCCUACGGGGCGCAGCAGGCGCGAAAACUUCGCAAUGCGGGAAACCGUGACGAGGGAACUCCAAGUGUCUAUGCAUUGCAUAGACUGUUUUUUAGCCUAAAUAGCUAUUAGAGUAAGAGGUGGGCAAGACCGGUGCCAGCCGCCGCGGUAACACCGGCACCUCGAGUGGUAGCCACUAUUAUUGGGCCUAAAGCGUUCGUAGCCGGUUUGGUAAAUUCUUGGGUAAAUCGUACCGCUUAACGGUGCGGAUUCCGGGGACACUACCAGACUUGAGACCGGGGGAGAUCAGAGGUACUUGUGGGGGAGCGGUGAAAUGUUGUAAUCCUGCAGGGACCACCAGUGGCGAAGGCGUCUGAUCAGAACGGCUCUGACGGUGAGGAACGAAACCCUGGGGCGCAAACGGGAUUAGAUACCCCGGUAGUCCAGGGCGUAAACGCUGCUGACUUGGUGUUGGGGAUCCUACGAGGAUGUCCAGUGCUGGCGCGAAGGUAUUAAGUCAGCCGCCUGGGGAGUACGGUCGCAAGACUGAAACUUAAAGGAAUUGGCGGGGGAGCACUGCAACGUGUGGAGCGUGCGGUUUAAUUGGAUUCAACGCCGGA
rnacentral:rRNA from 1 species